rnacentral:lncRNA from 1 species
AGGCACUAUUUUAGUUAAAGUUAGGUUGUACCUAUCCAAAGCAUCGAACCUUCCUUUGUCACCCUUAGAGCAUGCCAUUAUGUGAUUCUUUUAUGUGGUCAAGUGGUUCGCCUUUGGUUUUUUGUGGACUGUACCUUAGGUGCUACCUUAAUAGUCCUUAGGUACCACCUUAUUCUACCUUAAGUACUACCUUAGUUAAAGUUGGGUUCUACAUAUCCGAAGCCUUGGACCUUCCUUUGUGACCCUUAGAUCAUGUCAUUAUGUUAUCUUUUGUGUGGGCCAGUGGUUCACCUUUGAUUUUUUAGGGACAGUACCUUAGGUACUACCUUAAUAGCCCUUAGAUACCACCUUAAUCUACCUUAGGUACUACCUUAACCGACCUUAGGUACUAUCUUAGUUAAAAUUGGGUUCUACCGAUCCGAAGCCUCUGACCUUCAUUUGUCACCCUUAGACCAUGCCUUUAUGUGAUUCUUUUGUGUGGUCAAGUGGUUCACCUUUGGUUUUUGCGGACUGUACCUUAAGUACUACCUUAAUAGCCCUUAGAUACCACUUUAAUCUACAUUAGGUACUACCUUAGUUANNNNNNNNNNNNNNNNNNNNNNNNNNNNNNNNNNNNNNNNNNNNNNNNNNNNNNNNNNNNNNNNNNNNNNNNNNNNNNNNNNNNNNNNNNNNNNNNNNNNNNNNNNNNGAACUUAGUUAAAGUUGGGUUCUACCUAUUCAAAGCCUCAGACCUUCUUUUGUGACCCUUAGACCAUGCCAUUAUUUGAUUCUUUUGUGUGGGCAAGUGGUUCACCUUUGGUUUUUUGGGGAUUGUACCUUAGGCACUACCUUAUAGCCCUUAGGUACCACCUUAACCUACUUUAGGUACUACCUUAACCAACCUUAGGUACUACUUUAGUUAAAGUUGGGUUCUACCUAUCCAAAGCCUCUGACCUUCCUUUGUGACCCUUAGACCAUGCCAUUAUUUGAUUUUUUUUGUGGGCAAGUGGUUCACUUUAGUUUUUUGGGGAUUGUACCUUAGGCACUACCUUAAUAGCCCUUAGGUACCACUUUAAUCUACCAGGUACUACCUUAACCGACCAUAAGUACUACUUUAGUUAAAGUUGGGUUCUACCUAUCCGAAGCCUCUGACCUUCCUUUGUGACCCUUAGACCAUGCCAUUAUAUGAUUCUUUUGUCUGGGCAAGUGGUUCACCUUUGGUUUUUUGGGGACUGUACCUUAUGUACUAUCUUCAUAGCCCUUAGGUACCACCUUAAUCUACCUUAGGAACUACCUUAACUGACCUUAGGUACUACCUCAGUUAAAGUUGGGUUCUACCUAUCCGAAGCCUUUGACCUUCCUUUGUGACCCUUAGACCAUGCCAUUAUGUGAUUCUUUUGUGUGGUCAAGUGGUUCACCUUUGGUUUUUUUAGGACUGUACCUUAGGUACUACCUUGAUAGCCCUUAGGUACUACCUUGAUAGCCCUAAGGUACUACCUUAAUCUACCUUAGUUACUACCUUAACCGACCUUAGGUACUACCUUAGUUAAAGUUUGGUUCUACCUAUCCGUAGCCUCUAACCUUCCUUUGUCACCCUUAGACCAUGCUAUUAUGUGAUUCUUUUGUGUGGUCAAGUGGUUCACCUUUGGUUUUUUGCGGAAUGUACCUCAAGUACUACCUUAAUAGCCCUUAGGUACCACCUUAAUCUAACUUAGGCACUCCCUUAAGGGACCUUAGGUACUACCUUAGUUAAAAUUGGGUUCUACCUAUUUGAAGCCUCUGACCUUCAAUCCCGGACAUUGCUUGUUAUAUUUUAAAUUUUGUAGUUUAUCAUGACUAUUAUUAUCCUACAAUGUGGUACACAUGUGUGAAUUAUAUACGUUUCGUACUAUAUUUUUCAAUAGUUAUGAGUUGAUUGAUUAUCAAAAAUUAACCAACAACAAUUAUGUCAUUAGACGACAAACAAGCAAACAUACUAUGUAGUGUUUGUGGGUCGUAGACAUGGAGUGUACGAUUCUUGGGCUGAAUGUCAAAAGAAUGUGCUCCUUUAUAAGGGGAGUGUUUACAAAUCAUAUACUUUUAGAGAGGAAGCUGUUUGAGCUUGGGUGUUCUAUGGACUAAGAUGGAAGAGAAGUGAUGAACGUUCAUCAGCUGGCAAACCAAAGUUUGAACUUGCAAUUGAUGAUCAGCAUUUGUUGCAAAAUAUUUCAUAUACAUAUGUAAUCACUUUCUUUGCUAGCUUCUUUGUAGCAUGUGUUUUGCUUAUUGUAACAUUUAGUUUAACAUGGGUUGUGGAAAUGUGUUAUGAAUAUCAAUUUCUAGUAAUGCAUUUUUCGUAGUGUUCACAAGUAUUAUGUGAUUAUUAUUAUCAACUUUGUUAAACUGAAAAUGCUCACUCAAACGUUUGGAGCAUAAGACAAUUUGUUCAUUAAAGGUUACAACAUUAAAGAAAUUGAGAAUUUUUGACACAUCAUAAGAUUUUGAAUAAAUUCUAGUUGAGAUGUAAAGCUAACAACUAUAUCUAUGGAAAUUACAUCUUAGCAUUUUCCAAAUUUACAUUUUGUCACUCAAACAUUUUGCCAUUUUGCACAAACUUAUUUAACCCAUCUUCUUCAUUCUAGUGCCUUGAUUUUCAUUAAUCCUUGGAUCAACUCAUUUGACCAAAAAUAAUUUUGUGAAAAGACAUUUCAAACAAACUUUUAAUUUAAGUAUAUUAUAUAAAUCUUAUUUAAAUUUUUUGAAUGAUUUAAUUUUUCAUUUAAAAAUAUAGUUACAAAUUUUAUUAAAAUUAAUAUUUUCAUUUGUGGGUUUAUGGACAAAAAUUUAAGAUAAUUUUAAUAGCAAGUUAGACAAAUAUAUGUAUUGACUAAUAAGAAUUUAAGUACUAUUUGUUUUAUUGUUUAGGGUUGAAUGUAACAUCAGAUAAAAGAAGAGAGGGGACAACAUAUCAUAUCCCAUGUUUGGUUAGUGAUAGAAGAAGAUAAGUUAACCUCACAACUUAUCAUAUCUUAUAUUCAACCAAACAUGGAAUAGGGUAACUCGAUAUUAUCAAUUGUUUAUAUAUAUAUAUAUAUAUAUAUAUAUAUAUAUUACUUAUCUUGCAAAAUAUUUUUUUCGUUAAAAAAGGAAAAUUUAUAAAAUUUAUAAAAUAUAUUAUUAAAUAAUAUUAAUAUAUUUAUUAUUCAAUAUAUACAAAAUAUUUUUAUAUAUUGAAUAUCAUAAUAUAUAUAAUAAAUUUUAAUUUAUAAAGUUUAAAUAUUUUAAUUAUGAAUAUUAUUAAAUGUAAAACAUAAAAAAUAUUGAAAUGUAAUAUAAUUUUUAAUUUAAACAUUGAAAAAUAAUAUAUACUAUAUCUUAUUUUUAUUCAUUUACAAAUUAAAUAUAAACAUAAUAUAAUAUUCAAUAACAUCAUAUCUUAUUAAAAAUCAUAUAUUUACAUUUCCUAAUAUACAUGUAUAUUCUAUCCUACUAACCAAACAUAACCUUAAAAUAUUUUCAAACAUUUUCAUAACUUCUAUCAAUUUGCAUUCCACCCAAAUUUUGUUUUCUUUUGUUUCACAUUUUUCAUCCCAUAUUUUUCAUAUUUAUAUAAAUUCAAGUACCAACUUUUAAUACCUUCAUCAUUUUCAACAUUGUUGUAGAGAGUCAUAAAAAACUUAUUUAUUUUUAAUUAAAUGAGAUUCUGUCAACAUAUUUUUAAAAUGAGAAAUUAACACUCAUAUAAUAAUCUUAUUUUUCGUAGUGUGGCAUCUCAAAAUAUUGAAAAUUUUCUAGCAUUCGUUGUAAAAUGACUAAAAUCAUCAAAAAUAUUUUUCUUCACUUACAUAAUUAUUAAAUAAGUUUUUAUCUUUUAUUUUAAAAGUAAAAAAAAAAAAAUUGAAUACCAAAAAAAUUUAGCAUUUAUAGAAAUUAGAAACAACAUUUAUAUUUUCUAUCUAAAAAGAGAAAAAUUAAAAGUCUCAUAUUGACUUACCUACGACAAAAAGGAUCCUAAAAUCAACCUAACAAACUUCAAACAAGCAAUAAUCAGCAUAAACCAAACCUCAUCUCAUGCUUUAACUUGCACUGCAAUUACAAUUAACAAAACAGACCCAUAAGAAAACAAAAGAGUAGGAUGAGUUUUUUCAUAUUCUUGUUUGCCAUAUUCUUGUUUGCCAACUACGCUUUCAGGUGUUUUCUAAUAACAUAUUUGGUGGGGUGCUCAUGCAAUCUCCUUCUGUACAUGAUUUUGAUCAAAGAGAAAUGUUCUGCUUCUACCUUUUCCCUGGAAGUAACAUCAGUGGGAAGGUUCGCUAGCUUUGCUUUAGAACUAGCUUUAUUUUAACUUUUCAUUUAUAGAAUCAUCCUCCAUAUUGGAAGUACUUCAUUUCUAUGCCUUCAAAUGGAUCUACCAAUAUAUGCCAUUUCUUUCAAAUUCAUUCUUUGAUCAUGUUGCAUUUAGGUUGUACAUUAAUAUCCUGUACUGAUGACCUUCUGUAGUGGUGUUGACAUUGAUCUUGACAAUGUCAACAAAUCAUUGAAGAGAACGCAUGUACAAGUGCAAAAGAUAGGCACAAAUACUUUGCAAGGGCACACAAACACAAUAAUUUAAAUGAGAGUUUGAUUUCAUUUGCCUGCAAAAUCAACCCAUUUUUACAGCUAUAGUCUUGCCUUAUACAUGUCCAAAAAGCAUACAAGACCAAUAAUCCGUUGAUUCAGACUUUGUCUAGGAUGACUACGUAUGGAAUAAAUAUGAAGAGUCACAAUACUGUCUGUUCAUACUCAUAAUAUUCAAAUAAUGUCUGUAUUGGACCCUAUUGGCACUUUAAAGAUUUCAAUGACUACGUAUCGGUCAAACUAGUGAACCAUGAAUUAGUAAUUUUUUUUUAUUCAAUGACUGAUCUUAUUCUAAAAACAUUUAUUUAAAAGAUUUCAAAUUAACACUACCUAAAGGCAUUGAUAUAUAUAUAGAGGCUUUGGGUGUCAAUUAAGCCAAAAUAUUUAAUUACAUCGCUUCUAGUAUUUAAGUGUGCACACAUGAUGCAACUUUUUGUUUGAAUGAUAUUACAUGGACAAUUACUUGUUGAAUAUUUAAAUGUUAAUAAUAAUAUUAUUAUUAAAGAAAACUUAGAAAUAAACAUUUAAUGACUCAAAUAUUCUUUAUUUCUAAAAUUAAAUUAUACUUCUCUCUUCUUUAAACAAUUUUUUCAUAAAUGAAUGUGUUCAAACAUUUUUCAAGAUCUAUUUAUCUCAAUAAACAUAACUUUCAGAAUUUUCUUUUAUCUUCUCUUCAUUUAUAUUCAUAAUUGUUUUGAAUUAAUUUUGAUUUAUCUAUUAAAAAUUAGUUGUGGUUUACAUUCUUUGUACAAUAUUUAUUAUUAUCAUCAUUAUUAUUAUAACAAAGAAAUGAUUAAAAAUAUUUGCUCACAAAUAAGGUUAAAAAAUUUUAUAUAAGAAAAAUAAAAUGUGGUAAACUUGUUUUUAGGCAAACCCUUAAAUAUUUUCAUUAAUUAAUAUAUAUAUAUAUUUUUUUACAAUUUUUCCAAAUUCAUGUGGUAUAAUUUGAGUGAAAAUUUAUUAAAAACUCGAAAAAUAAAUAUUUGAUAUAUUUAAUAAUCUUGUUUUCCAGGCAAUAAAAUCUUCUUGUCUGUUGAAGCCUCGCAUCACCCGGGGUCCUCGCAGUAGCCAGAUGGACGCUCCCUUUCAACUGAUGAUGAUUCUUGCCUCAAUCAACCUGCAAAAGACGUUCGGACAGGUUGUCCAAACACAUCCUCCGAUGGUUUUGUUAGCCUUCUCUCUGAUAAUCAAUCUUCCCUUUUUACUGAGUAAGAAAGCUUACCUUCUUUCCUCGCAUGAAGGCUCUUUUAUAGUGUCAGAAGCUCUGUCCCCUUUAAUGGUAGGAAGACUUUUUGUCUUGUCAUGAUGGCGCUGAGGUAGUGGCAGAGCCAUCAUUGUCCUGCAGGUGCCUGUCAGAUAUUGUGGAGGGGAUGGCUUGCCGUCAUUCUUGUCCUUUCGCUCUACAGGCGGCGGAAUGCGGGCUGUGAUAGGUUGUCUGAGGUGACUCAGUAUGAUCCCGUCGAAAGUGCUUCUGGCAGUGUAGGCCAAGAUGGCCCGCGUUUCACGACCAAGGCUUUUGAUUAAGUUGCUAACGCUGGGUUCAGACAACAUAUCCGGACAAGAGAGUGGGUCGUCCGGAUCGUGGGUUUGAGAGUGUCGUACGCCCUCCGGAGGGAAUCCGGAUAGAGAAUUGAUGUGCCACAUGUCCCCUGGAGGGGUGCUGUGCGGGAUUGCCACGUGGGCGUUUGGGGAUGGUCCCUACAAUGCCCCCCUUUUAACCUGACUAUUUUGCCCGGGCAAAAAAGGCGGGUUAAAAAUGAUGCUUUUAAACCUUUCAUUUCUUUUUUGGGGUUUAUGUGCCACGUGGUGUUGCAAAAGGGGGAGUAUUUAUGGCGAGUCGCCGUUCUUGGGGGGAUUUCUAGGCGGCAUGUCGUUUCGACAGUGGCACGGUUGGGCACCUGGUUGUUUUGAGUAUCGAGGAGUCGCAUCCCUUAAAUAGGGAAUCCAGCCCCUGCAACUACAUUUUUCCUUCUGCGUUUUUUUCUCGUCUGUAUUUUCCCUUUGCCUCUAUGUUCAUCUUCACUUGUGAUUGAGGGUCGCUUUCUAGGGCUUCUGUUAGCGACAUUCCUGUCAUAAGGGCGACUGUAUCGUGGCCUUCGUUCCAGUUGCAAGCUUGCACCAGGUAUGUUCUGUAUUUCUAUCUCCUCAUCUUAAGCUUCCUGUUUCUUCAAUUUUUGCUGGCUUGUUGGGUAUUUUGUUUGCGAUUGAGGGUCAGAGGUAAUGUUUAGGGUUUUUCAGGGGGUUUUGAUUUUGUUUUGGGCCCAUUGUGGCUUUUGUUGCCUCCCUGUUGCCUUUACGGAUGACUGAACCGUAUUUGGGGUAGAGUUAGGGGUUAGGCUUGGGGUUUUGGCUAUUUUAGGCCUUCUGGGUCAUUUGUUCUCAGGGCUGUGGGGCCGGGUACCUCUGUUUUGACUGUUGGCAUUCCGCCAUGUAGGUUUUGUUUCGGCCUCACGCUUUAACAUGCCUACGAAAAAGGAUGUGGCUUCGUCCAGUGCAGCUGGGCCUAGUGGAAAAAGUGUAUCCGAGCAGACCUACUCGGGGAAGCCUACUGACAAGCUGAACGAGAGGGAGUUUUGUGAGCAUUUCUGUAUCUCGAACGAUGUCUCUAUUCAGCUAGUGGACGAGAAUGCUAUGUCCACUGAGAAAGCUGUCAACCACGUCGUUUACUUUUCCAAGGAGCAAUUCAAUGCGGGGCUCCAGUUUCCUCUUCCGUCUUUCUUCAAAGAGUUCAUCCACUUCACUCAAAUUUCUCCAGCUUAUGUCCAUCCCAAUAUUGUCCGGGUGUUGAUGGGGUGCAGCAUUCUAAAUAUGCUGUUCAAUUUGGAUCUUUCCUUGCUGGAGGUCCUCUUUGUUUACACCAUCAAGAAGGGGAAGACAUACCUCUUUAGCCUGUUUGCCCAUAUCCCAUCCCUUCAAUUGGUGACCAACCUUUCGGAUUCGAACAAGGGGGGAGCCAAAGGGCAUGUACUGGUCAGCGGUCACUAGGCCGGUCUGUCGAAGCCUCCGGAAAGGGAGUUUACCCCCAACCGUCCGUUGACGCUUCCAGGUAGGGUAGCUCUUGGUGUUUGUCCAGUGUUGGUUUUUGACUCUUGAUUCAGUGUUAUCAGAUGACUAACCUCUUUUGUUUUGGGUAACGCAGGUACACACAAAAGGGGUCGCUUGGUCAAGUGGGUGGAGAAGGCCUCUUUCGAUCGUUUGAACAGGCUGUUCGAGAUCACUUCCAUUGAGAGGCACUACCAGACACUUCUUUCUGCCCGGAACCUGUUGGCUGUCGUCUGGGAACCUCAGCCGUACGUCCUCAAUAUUCUCCCUAGGUGACUACCCAAGGUUGUAGUGCCCGGGGAACACUUUGUACUGAAAGAUCUGUCUUUUUACGAAAGGGCUCGCGAGGCUGACGCAAAGGCGUGCCAGGAGCACCUUGACCAGCGGGAGGAGAAGAGGCAGGAGAGGACACCGAGGAAAGCACCUGUAAAAGAAAGGGCUUGGCGAGAAGAGGUCGGCGAGAAAGGACGCGAAUCUUCUCCCGCGGUCCGUUCUUUGACUGCAAAGAAGAAGAAAAAGAAAACCAUUGCGCAGGCUCUCCAGGUAGUGUCUCCGGCUCUUGAUUUUUAGUCUUCAUCCUCCGACUCUGCGUCCAGUCGAUCGAAUAACCCUGCCCCGAAGCCUGAGGAUACUUCUAGAUCUCCACAUCUUGAGACUUUCCAUUCGGGGCCUGGCUCUUUCCAACCUCAGUCGGACUUCGUUGGCCUGAGAGUCGUGCACGAGCUGAUGAAGUGAGAGACAUGAACGACCUCAGAACUGGGUUUUUGCAAAGGCAUCGUAAGCGGCUGUACGAUCCCAUAGAUCUUGCGCCUUCUCCAGCCAAGAGGGUUUGCCUAGACAGAGGUGGGGAGGAUCCAGUGACAGAAGUUCCUUUGUCAAUUAUGGCCCAUCUGGACGAGGCGGGUUCUAGUGCGGCUGCAGCAGUUCAGCCAAACGCUGUAGGAUCUAAUGUAGCAGCAACGGCUUGGCCUGACGUUCCAGGGCCUAGUGCAGCGGCCGUUGCCCAACCAGGUGUAAUUGCUCACAACAACGCCCCAACUGCAGUGGAGACCCGUGGGACAGAGGGGGUUCCGGAGGCAGCGAUUGACGAGGAGGCUCUAGACGAGAAGAGUAGUCCAGCUGCCACGGUUCCUCCAAGCUGGGAGGAAAUGAUGGAGAUGCUGAAGGGAGUGCCAUGUUUCACGGAUGCCGAGGCUCCUUCCACAAGGAUGUUUGACUUCUUUUCGCUUACCAAGUGGGUCUCUGUGAACAUGGGUGGUGAUCCUCCUGCCUUUGUCAAGGCCCGACUUCUUUUUGGCACCCUUGAGUCCAUCGUGUCUUGUAUUCAACAUCUGCAGGAGUGGACGAUCCCUGAGACUACAGAAGUGGUAAUAAUUUCUUUGCUACUUUUUCCUUCUUCCUUAGCAAUUGUUACUCCUUUGCAUGACAUUAGCUUUUGUUUUGUUGUUGUUCUGCGCAGGUCGUGGUUGGCAUCGCUACAUGAUGCAUAUGCGCAAACAGCUCUUCAAGCGGCUGGAAGUGGCGGAGGCUAUGCGCGCCUUCAUCUCUCACCAUCCGGGUGGUGUUGAGGAGAUGCGCUCGCGGUUAGAGAAGGUGGAGGCUGAGUUGGUUGCUGCUCAGAAGGCCGUAGCGGAUGGGGCGAAGAAGCUGAGCCAGGCUGAGGAGGAGAAGGGGUUGUCCGAGAUGAGGUGAACCUACUGAAAGGGGAAAAAAGGGCCUUGGAGGGUCAAAUCAAAGGGGUGGAGCAGGAGAAUUCUCAGCUUAAGAAUGAGGUGGACGAACUUCGGGCUAGCCUCGCAGCUCAGAAGAAGGAGACGGAGAGGUUGCAGGCAGGCCUAAUUGCUCAGAGGGAGAAGAUGGAGUCCAAGUUUGCCGCUCAGAAGAAGGAACUGGAGACGGAGUAUCAAAGGCAGGUAGACGAGAUGUACUUCUUCGACUAUCGUUGCUACAUGAAGAAUAACGACAUUAUGCAUGAUGUUCUGACGAUGAGGAUGCGAUACCCGGAGGCCCUCCUUGUUGAGAUUUCUUUGUGUGCAGUCCUCCUUAUACUUUUUCUCUUUGUUUUGCUGCUUUUAGGGCGGCGAAUUUUGUAAAGACAAUUUUUUAGUCCUUUAUAAAUACUUUACACUUCUUUACUUUUCUCUACCUUUUGCUUCUUUUUAUUGGUAAUAUUGCUUAAGGUUAGAUACAUUUCAUGGACGGAGCAACAGGGUUCCGUCUAACUUUUGUAGGUGAUAGGCUCCGCUUUCACUUGCCUUAGUUACAAUAUAAGGACCUUCCCAAUUCACUUGGAAUUUCCCGGCUCCUCUUUCAGCGGUGUUUUCGAAAACCUUUCAAAGGACCAGCGUUCCGAUCUUGAAGACCCGGGGUCGUGCCUUGCGGUUAUAGUGAGUGGCCGCUCUUUCCUGGUAGUCAGCCAUCCGAAUGGACGCGUUUUCUCUCACUUCAUCCACCCAGUCUAGGUUCCUUCCUAGUUCCGUACUUUCAUCACUCUGUCCUCGUGCAUCAGUCCGAAUAGUGGGCAAACCUAUUUCUAUGGGGAUGAUUGCAUCCCUGUCAUAUGCAAGGGCGAAGAGAGUGUUUCCCGUGGGUCACCCAGGCAUGGUUCGGUAGGCCCAUAGGUCGUCGGGCAGUUCCUCUACCCACUUUCCUUUAGCUUGCUCGAGCCUCUUCUUUAAGGCAGUCGCCAAGGUUUUAUUUGUCGCUUCUACUUGCCCAUUGCUUUGAGAGUAACGUAGUGUGGAGUACAAAUUCUGGAUUUUGAGCUUCGAGCAGAAAUUUCGGAAGGCGAUGCUGUCAAACUACGGACCAUUGUCGGUUAUGAUUGCUUGAGGGAUCCCAAAGCGACAAAUGUUGUUCUUCCACACAAAUUUGGUGACAUCCUUGUCCUUAAUGUUGGCAUAUGCCUCUACUUCUACCCAUUUGCUGAAAUAGUUUGUGGCAACGAGCAUGAAUUUCUUCUGGGCAGCUGCGGUUGGUAAAGGUCCUACUAUGUCCAUCCCCCAUUGUGCAAAAGGCCAAGGGCUGGAAAUUGACUUCAACGUUUUAGACGGCACAUGCGGUAUGGGGGCAUGUGUGGACCCGCAUUUUUCACGUGCGUCCCACUCGAUCGGCGAGACUCGCUUUUUUAUUAUUUUGUGAAAAAUUGAUUUUUGGAAAAAAAGUUGGAGUCGCCACUUAUUUUAUUUUUAUUUUAAAGGGAAAAUAAAACAAGAAAGAAAAACCCUAAAAUGUGACUCCAAAAUUUUUGGAAAAGCAUGUCUUUGAAAACCCAAGUCUCGGUCCGGGGAUCAGGUUACUUAUUGGGAAGGUACCUCUAGGAGGUAGCACCCCUCUAAGCCCUAUAAAGGUCUCUACUGACAAAGUUAAGGGAAGUGUGACCAUUAAUCAGUUAAUUAUAGGUACCUAAGUAGGCUAGGUGAUUUCAAAUAUUGCAUGCCUAACAAGAAAACCAACCAUAAGAGAGAGUCGAAGUGCGUACCUGAACGGCUUCUUGAGUGCUAUUAUAAAACAUCAAUGCUUAGUUUAGAUGAUAUAUCAUACAAAGUGUUUUAUCCAAGCAAAUCAAGCAUAUAUCAAAACAUCCAAGAAUUGCAUCAUGUAUGGAUAUAGUCAUUAGUAACAUAUGUGUCAAUAGAAUUCUCAAAAAUAGGUGUGAAGGAGGGUACCUGGAUAGCGAGCUAGUACUCCUCUAUAGGAAACAAGAGCAUCUCAACAAUAAAUAUUAAGUCAAUUCAAGUAUUUCAUCAAGAAGAAUCAAAAAUCAACAUAUCAAGUAAACAGUAUUGAAGUAGGUAUCAUGAAUGUCGGGCCCCCACCAAAGCCCUAAUUAAUUUCGCAUGAGUUGAUUCCAUUAAUUCCAUGACUUGGAAUUAUGGAGUUUGUUCAUGCUUAGGAAAAUCAAGAAAAACACGAAAAUAGUUAAAGUCAAAGAAAACAGUGAAAGUGCAUACCCGAAGUAAAGUGGCAGCAAAUUGCAUGUUAAAAUCUGGAUUUUGUACCUAGAAGCUUCUAAAGAAGUUUAAAGAAAACUGUAGUUAUUUUGACGUAGAAUGGUUUUGAAAUCUAGAUUUAAGAUGUAUAAAAUCACAAAAGAAGAAAAAGAAACAAUAGAAGGAGUAUGAUGCGUGGUGAGGUGGCCAAGCUGGAUUAGUGUCUAGGCUACUUUUGAGACUGAAUUACUUGGGUUGCUUGAGGAUGUUUCUGUAGAUUGCUGAAAUGGAAUUCUGCAUUCUUACAUCAGUGGUCGCUGUCUGCAAACUCAAUUCACUCAUACAACUGUGGAGAAAGAAAUUUCACUACCAUCUCUUCCUAAAGUUCCUGUUUUCAUGCUACUGGCAUCACAACCCAAACCAGAUUGGUGCACUCCAACUGAUGUCUUCCAAUAUUUCUUCUAAUUCAGGUUCAGAGAAUGACAAGAAGUCACUUGGAUUCACCACAUUGGAGAAAGUAGAACCAUUGUCAUCAUCCUAAAGGUGCUUCGCCAUGGCAGAAAAGAGGAAACGUUGGCAGAAAAGCAAUUUCUACUUAUCAUCUGAUCUGGAAAUGUGCAUGAGCAAUUCCCCUUAUAUUAACACCAGGGUUCUGUUUCUGUCAUCAACCUGCUAAACAUUAACUGAAUGCUUACAUCUUUAUUGAUUCGUGCCCAAUUGGUGUCUCAGCUGAUUCGUGUGCAGCUGGUGCUCCUUGAUUGAGGGAUUAAUCAACAAAAUUUAUAACCUAUUACACCAUAUACUAGGGUAGCAAAGACAAAGCUACUAUAGCAUAGUGGCUCUAGGAUUGUUCACUGGGAUGGGUUUUCACUUCACAAAUGAUAUUAAUUCAAAGUUGAAUUGGUGCCUUUUCAUUUCAAUGUUAGUUUUAAAAGAAAACAUAAAGAUGUUUGAAUGAAAAAAAGUUUGGUUUUAAACUAACCAAAAAUAGUAACUGAUUUUACUUACAAAGAAAAGUGUUUCUUGGAGUUUCAGAUCACUAGGCUCAAAUUCCUCAUACAAAAAGGGAGUUCCGGUCACUUGUUUCUUUUCCUCGCAUUAGAGAAUUAACAUAUAGUUCAUUCUCCAACCGGUGCUGUACAAAUGCUUCCCAUUAAUGGGUUCAAACACUAAAUCCCUCUCACUGAUGCAUCUUGCAAUGGCUCAAACCUCUCACCUAGCACUUGCCAUUCAAGGUGAUCUUUAACCUUGGAUUUCCCUUUUCAAGCUCGCAAGAGAUAACUAAUGGAUGUCUCCUUGGAGUCCAAAAGCUUACCAAGUGUUGGCAAUUCCAGAAAAUCCUACCUUCAAGUCACCUCCCAAAGGCUCGCAAGGGGUAAACUAGUGCAUCUCCAUGGACGGAGAUCACUUGCCUUACCAAGUGUUGGCCCAGGUGAUUUAAAGGCGUUUUAAGUUAACUAAAAACAUAGAAAUCACUAACGGGUUACACUUUCUCUUCAUUAAAAACUAAAACAACAAAACUUCCAAAUUAUGCAUGUGGAAACUUACCCGGCUUUCCUCACUCCAAGAGACAAAGAGCCUAGCCUCUCAUCUUCUAAGGAAAAAUCCUCAGAGAAUGUUUGGCUAGCAAGAAAAUGAAAAUGAAAAUGAAGGAAAAACAGAGCAAGGCUCUGUAUAUUCUAUAUAUUUAUCUAUCUAUUUCUAUAUUACAUACAUAAUUACAGUGGAUGCAAGGGAGUUUAUAUAGGAAGGUAAUUUACCCUUCCUUGGAUACUUCCUAGCUAAGGAAUUACAUGAGUGGUUGAAUACAAGGAGAAAAUGAAAAUUUAGACACAAAAAUCUGAAGAAAAAUAUCCCAAAGUGUCGGUCACAAAUAUCGGGAAACACUAAGGACCAUUUCGCAGGUGAAAAUGGUGUCUGCGAGAUUUCGCAGACACUCAAGAGGGCUGCGAAAUCAUUUCGCAACAACAUGCUAUCUUCGUAGGGCUGCGAAGUUGGCUUCCACCUUGAGGUUCCAAGCUUCCCUCUCGCGGUAUACGUCGGGCAACUUCAGGAGGGAAUCCACAACACUGUACAAAAAGGCUGCGAAAUCAUUCCGCAACAAAAGGGUGAUUUCGCAACACUUUGCUGAAUCCUUCCUUCAGUUUGGAGCAGUCAUCUUCCAAAGGCUGUAACUUCCUCAUUUUAGCUCCAAAUCGUACACGGUUUGAAGCGUUGGAUUCUUGACUUCCUGAGCUUUGAAAUGGUAUAUAGAAUGUAGAAAAUAGACUUCGGGAAGUGCUCCAAAAGUGCGAAAGAAGACUGCAGCUGCUGUCCUCUGUUUUCUUCACUCUGUUUUUCCUCUCUCCUUGCUUCUCUCCUUGCAUACUUUGAACGACUAAGGCAAAGGACUAUCAGGCUCCAAAUCUUGGUUUCUUCAUGAAUUUGAGCUUCCAUAAGCUUUGCCAUAACUUGUUCAAGUAGCUCCUCCAUCAUUUGGCAUGCUUGAAUUGAUUCAUAAGCUGAUAAAAACAUGUAAACUUGCCACAAAAUGGUUAAAACCAAUUACUAAGGACCUUAAUGAAUUAAUUGGGUUAAAUGAAUAUGAUUACUACUCAAAGGUGCUUAAAACCAUUAUAAUUAGGUCUACAAAAUAGCACUUUUUGGUAGUAAUCAUUUAUUGAUCUUCAGAUGUUCAGUUUCCCGAAUAACUUCCCAUUCUUUAGGCAUAUCAAAUUGCCCAGAAUCAGAAACUAUCUCUCAGUCAAUAGGAUUCAGCAACUUCUUUGCGUGUGUGAAGGCAAAGGGGCAGUAAGUUAGAGCUUACUGAUGGAUCCUACAUUUCUGGACUUUCGAGAGUGACCUCCUAGAAGACACCGUACUCCACCAUUCUCUUAUUUCUCCUUUGCUAUUUAGAUUUGGUAAGGUACACAAGCUCUUUGAAGAUGGUUGACCCAGACCUUCUCGUCCCCAUGCUGAUCUGUACUCAUCAUAAUCUGAUUCUCCCCUUGCUUUAUGUCAGCACAUAUGCUGUAAGCUCAUCGCAGAGGAUACGAAUUCCAUGGUUCCAUGCACAGGAUCAGAGAGGGUAAGUUACUGAGGAAGUCUUGAUUAAGGGGAACACCAUUAUUCACUAUCAUCAAUGCUUGUUUCCUUUUCGUAAAAAAAAAGAUCUCACUCUAGACUUCAAUUUCAAUUUCUCGUUCUGAAUUUGCAUCAACAACAGAAGGCUGAGUGGCUUCCAUUAAAAGGUAAAAUAAAAAAGAAGACCAGUUGUGACAGCCAUUUGAUCAAUUAAAUCAUCAACUCCUGGCAUUGGAGCUAUCUUUAGAUGCUUUUGUACAGAAGUUGGGGGUUCUGCUGUGGGCUGUCUUCUAGCUCUGCAUGAGAUGCUGACAGCGGUGAGGAUGUUGAAGGGUUGUUUCUUGAUAAUACAUGCAGUGUAGGGAAUUCAGACUCAAAAGAUUGUGAUGGUUCAAUAUAUCGGGGAUGGUGGCGAUCUCAUAAUGGAUUCAUCAUAGUUUUAAGAGGUAAAGGAUGGCUUGAUCGGCUGUUGCAAUGUUUGUAUCAAUCGUAUUUUGGUCUUUCUCUGUCCAUCUCUUUACUAACAAGAUGUUCUCUUCUAUCUUGCCACUUUGUAUCCAAGGAGACUGAGUAACAUAGGUCUUUGUUCCACACAGUUUAAAGAUACCAGAUAUCUUAGACACCUCUCAGAACAUACAGGAUAGUAAGCUUGACUUGUCUGAGCUUACAGCACCACAAACAGCAACCCUCAUGCCACGGCACACCCGCAAAUUAAUAUCCUUCAUUGUUCCCAAAGCUUGAUCAAUAACAGAGAGUUUACCUUCGCAUUCCUUCAUGUUUGUCAAGGUCAACUACUCGUUCGCAAUUAUAUCUGAAUUUCAUCUUUGCAAGAGGUUCCAGGUACGGUCUGGUUAAGUAUCCACUAUUAUCAAGCGGUUCCUUAUCCAAUUUAUCCUCACUAUCUUUCCCCUCCUCAAUUUUCUCAGAAGAAGACUGCCUUGGAGAUCCUGUGUCAGAUAUCCCAUGAAUGCUCUGACAUUAGGACAGAGACUGCACUAAACUUGACACCAAAUUCAAAGCAGCGUGAAGACUUGCUUUAUUUAUGAUGCUAGCUCGGUCACCAUUCCAUCCACUCCUUGCGGAAGCAACAUCUUUAAUAUCAUCUGAUUCUUUAAAGAAUGAUUCAUCAAAAUAUUUGUCAUCAAUCUGUUUGACACCACUGUCUAAAAGAGGGAGAUAUGACUCAGAAUCAGUAUCAGAUGCUUCGAAACCUAUCUCAUUUUUCUCUCUGGACAGCUCUAUUUCCACUGAUUCACACUGUCCAUCUAGAACAUUUUGGAUGAUAUCGAUUUUUAAUUUGCAUCUUUCAAGCUUCUGGCACAUCCUAUAUGGACUUUCAAUGGGACAAAACUGCUAUUCAGGACCUUCAAUCAGACUGGUUUUGUGCAUUGGAAGUAUGAUGUGUGGCAAGGUGGCCAAGAAGGAGUGGAGCCUCAAAAUUCGGGAUAGAAGGACCCAAUUCAUCGUCAGGAUAUUCAGUGGUCAAAAGCAUUUCCAUGUAUUAGGUAACUUGGUCCAUGAGCUCAAAUGGGUUCUCCCCAACAUUGAUCAAACACGGAACAUAAAAUUCAAAAUCCCCAAUUUCUUUGUAUUGACAGAUUUCCUGCAUUCUGUGUUAAUUUCCCACCACCAAGAUUUGAUUCAAUGGUUCUACUAGAAUAUGUACCCUUGUCGUUGCCAUCACCAAGCAGACUCCUCAUUGUUAUUUUUCAUCCAUAAUCGGACCGAAUCUGUAAAUGAAUGGUUUCCUUCACUUUGCGAAAUUCCUUCACGCUGUCGCUGCUGUGUUCCUGCUGCAUCCAUGAGUCCUUGUUGGCUGUUUCUAUUCCGACUAUUCUUUCCAAUCUCUAUAGCCAAUGGUGCAAUCCACUGGUCGUCAGAUAUUCCGUUUGAAGCUGGGGAAUUUUCUUGUUCAAACCAUCAGACUUGAAAACUGGAUCACUUAAAAUGCUAGCUAGGUGCCGAGCCACUCCUCCAUCUAUCAUGUUUUUUUCUUUUUUUUGCCCUUUUUUAUAUAGCAAUAAAAAAAAAGUUCUUCAAAGGAUUACACUCCAGGUUCGAAAAUGAAGAUAAUGUUUUAACGAGUUUACUGAUUACUCGCAUGUGCCUUUCAGUAGAACAGCUGCAUAGAACGGAAUUUGAAGAAGUUUAUCUGCAACAUCUACCUCUGUCAAUAGCACACCCUUAAGGAUUUCUUCUUCCAGCCAGGACCAAAACUGUGCAAGAGCAACUGCAUCCCUUAGAUGAGAAUUGCGCAUCCCUUCUAAUUCAGCCUGAUUUCUCACAGCCUUCGCCAGCAAAAUAGGUGAAAUCUUAUAAACUCCAGUGGGCACCCCAGAUUGACCAUUGGCGACUCCAUAUGCCUCAGACUUAUUUUUCCUCUUAUUAUCAAGGCUCCCAGAAUACUGGUCACAAGCAGCCUCGUAAGUGUUGACAAUAGCAACAUUAACAGAAGACGUAUCCAACUAGAGGUGUGCCCCUUUCGCUGCCAAAUUCUUUAUUUCAGCUAGAAUGGAUUUAUAUGGUCUCAACUCCAUGCCUACAUUCUUCAAGUGAUCCAUCACUUCUGGGCUGACUUUAGAAUCAUCAAUAAAUAAUUUUGCCCCAUCAAUCUCCACAAUAAAGUAUGCACACAUAACAGGUGAGUUUGGAACAUCAUUUCCUCUCAAGUUUAACAGCCAAGAAACUUCAUCAAGCAUAGAAACAACAAUAGCAGAACAACCAGCAUCAAUGAGUUCAGACCUCAGGGAAGACAAUUUCGAUGAGACAUCUAAACCAGCAUACGUCAGCUCAUGCACUCUAAUUGGUUUUCUUGGAGGCUCCGGCCUUGAUUCUUUCCAUAUUUCAUCCACAAGAUUUAAAUCAUAUAGGUAAACCAAUUCAUGAUUCUUCUUAGCAAUGGCCUCUUUCAAUUCCUCUGCAGCAUCAGAAGAAAAAAAAAAGGAUCAAUGCCAAUUCUGCAAACAGGAGCCAAAACAUCAUUAAGCCAUUCACUGGUUGUAGGAACUCCAUAGUUACCAACCCGCAUAAGAAUCCAAUUAGAGCUUAACUGCUUCUCUGCCUGGAGAAAAUAACGCCCAUCUGUCCAAAGAGCUCCUUUAUCCUUUGUGACAACAGCAGUACCAGCACUGCCAGUAAACCCUGAUAUGUAGGCCCUCCUCAUAUAACAUUCAGCAAUGAACUCACUCUAGAAGCCAAAAUAGAAGUGCUUCAGAAUUAAAUAUCCAGUUGACUCACCGACGACAAGUACUAUGUGAUAAAUGGAACCAAAGAACAUGAAUCCAGAUAAACCUCCAAGUGGAACUGGAGGCUUAAUUUGUUCCCUGGUGGGCGUCCUGGGAAGGGAUAAUAUACGCAUCAAUUCCAAUUCUGGGCUUCGAGAACAGCUCACGCAGAGAACGAAGCUUCUCAUCCUGCUCGGAAUCGGCAGAUUUCUUCCGAAACUGAGAAGAGGGUUUUGCGGUAAUGGAAGCGUAGUUUCGAACAAGGAAAAUAAGGCGGUUCUGGGAUUUUGGGCAGAAACUGUGGGGACUCUUGAAUUUGUAGAAAAUGGGAAGCGAGUGAGAGAGGAAAUGAAGACAACGGGAAUGCAGCUGAGAAGAACGAGGAGAGAAAGCCGUUGAGAGGGUGAGAGGAGACAUCAGUGAUGAUGUUGUUCAUUACUGGAAAGCUGGUCUUUUCAGUAGAGGCUAUCAUACUGUGGGCCACUGCCCGAAUUCUUUUCAGCAAAAGCAGUUGCUUUCAAGACAGAAGUUGUUGCCAAAAUCAUCAAGAUCCCCUCUGGGCUUCGUGCGUUUACUGCCAAGAAAUUCGACUCUUCUGGCACAGUCAAGUGUCACAUGUGCUUCAGCUGCAGUUCGAAGGCCAGUUUUCUUCUUAAUAUCCGAGGUCACCCAUCUGUAGUAAACCCUUCUCCAUGAAAUUUCUUUCUCUGACCGAAGAACACAGAUAUUAACAAAACAUCAUUGAGAUCAAACAGAAAACAUCAUUUGCAGAGCACGUAAAACUUCAAGCUCUUCCCUUCUACACUUAGAGCCAUUAGAAGAGAAAUCAGUUCAGGGAACUAGACAACCUGUUUAGCAACAAGCUUUCAAGCAAUAAUCUGCCCUAAUGACUGAUCAAGUGUAGAAAAGUAAUUACAUUAAGCCGCGCAUUCUAUGAAACAACGUUUCUUUCUGACAUACUCUCAAACAAUUGCCUCGCAAUAUCCAUACAUCCAAAUUUUGAGUACACGUCAACCAAAGCCGUCUCCACAAACACAUUACCUUCAAAACCACCCCGAGCCCAAAAGAAUAGUGCACUGAUUUCACAAUCUGGAUCAAGCUUGGAAAAACUGCCUUCCGACAAGAGAAUCUCCUCUGGUUUUGUAUUCUCUGAUUUUUCCCACUAAUUUUCCUACGCUUCCUUCUUCUUUUCACCAAAACGAUCCCCACCCCUUUUUUUCUUUCUUUUCUUUUCAAUGUUGCUUUCUCCCGCGCUCCCCAAUAUACUCUCAGUGUAAAUACCCUAGAAUAAUUGAAUUCCAAGGAGGCACAUCUCUAAUCCCCAUAUGAACUCACAAAUUUACGUUAUGGUAACCAAACUUAGCAAGUGCAAUAAACAGCCGACAUACCCUUCGGACAAUCUUCUCUAGAUCCCAUAUUGUGAUAGCAGUUCAAGAAUUGUGAAGCGUUUGACCUCUUUACUGAAACUCAUGACUAUAUGCCCAUGCUUUAGAGUCACCCCCAUAUGAAAAGCUGAUGGUCGUGUGAUGGGUAGGAAGAAAAGGCAAAACAGAUAUGGUAGAGAGUAGAGGAAACAAUGGGAAAACAGACAUGGGAGAUUAAAAGAAAAUAAAACCACAUCUCCUGAUUUUUCAAUAGGCUCAGGUUAGUGGGAACAUGCAUGGAGUUAUAUGCUUCCGAAGACAUUAAUGACAUCCGAAAUCAAAACAAGGCAAACAGGCAAGUAACCAAUCUCAACAAAGCAAAUUGUGGCCCUUUUCGUCCACACCAAAAAUCAACAAGACAAUUAAAUUUUCAGGAAUCGAACACACGGAAAAAUCAAAUAUAGGUAAGAAUUCCAAAAGCAACGGGGUGCAUACCUGGACAGCUUUGGUUGCAAUGGCUUGGCUUCUGGCUAUCUUUUCUCUUCCUUCUGAAGACAAUUCCCAGGUAAAAAUCCUCUUUUUGCUUGUUCUUUCUUCCUCCUUCUCCCCCUCUAGACUCCAAUACGUGCUUCCCUCCAAAAAAUCUCCUCCCACAAUAAAAAAAAAAAAAAAAGCUCUCUCUUUUUUCCUUCCUCUCUCACGUAUAUAUACACCUUUCCCUAAAACCUCAAUCUCCCUAAAAAAAAGGCCAAAUCUCCUAUAUUCCCUCUUCUUUUCUCCUUAUCCUUUUUUUAAAUAUUCCAAUUCAAAAGCAAUCUUCCCAACUUUAAAUUCUCCUCCAAAACCUUCCAAGGAGAGUCCCACUUUCCUUAAACUCCAAUGAUAAGUUUCCUUAUAAAAACAUGAAAUUUUAGAAGUUAAAUAAUUGCAUGAAUAGAUAAAUAAGUAAAUAAAUUAGAAAAUGGUAAAAAUAAUAAAUAAAUAAAUAAGUUAAGGAAAAUAAUAUAAAGAGGAAAAUAAAAUAAAAUAAAAUGAAAAUAAACAAAAUAACAAAAAAUGGGCCCUAUGAGCCAUGCAAACACGCAAGUCAUAUAAGUCACGCUAAAAAAAAUCUUAAUAGACCUAGUAUACCUAAACGGGCCUAUGAUGAGACUAAGUGGGCCUAGGGUGGUGCCUAAUGGGCCAAGUGUAUCUAAAAGCUAUCCUAAAAAAAAAACAAGAAAAGCCUAAGUCUAAGUUAGCCGCCAAGGGUCACAAUAAGGGAUCAAAUAAUCCCUCAACCAAAGUCUUCAAGGUGACUCAGAAAAAAGUAAGUGGUGAGUAGUACUGGGCCACCAAGGAACUACUGUGGAGCACUAAAAACGAAUUUUAAAGACAUAUGCUAAAAGGACAAAAUUAAGGGUCUACAGCAUGCCUUUGGCAUUUGUCACACUUCUUGAUAUAAGCCGCAACGUCUCUCUUCAUAGUGGGCCAAUAGUAGCCCUACGAGUGCACUCGAUGCGCCAAAGAUUGUCCUCCGGGGUGAUUGCCGCAUACACCCUCAUCUAACUCAGCUAAUAUGUAUUGAGACUCUGAGCGGUCUAGGCACCUGAGGUAGGGGCCUAUAAAAGAUCGUUUGUAAAGGUGCUCCCCGAUCAGAGCGAAACGAGCAGCUUGUACCCGGAUCUUAUACACCUGCUUGGGUUCAUCAGGUAGAGAUCCUGUCUGGAGGUAUCCUGCUAUGACUUCCGUCCACUCUUGGCCCUCUUCCUGGCUUUCCUCAAUAGUAUUGCAAGUGGAUGUUUCUAUGAUGGAGGGAUCAGUCUGCACAUAUAUAGGAAAUAAUAUGGCCUCUUUGAUGGGCAGGGAAGUAGCUAUUCUUGCCAAGGCGUCAACACGUACGUUAUCAACUCGUGGGAUUUUUUCUAUGGUCUAUUCGCUUAACCAUUGCAAGGUGUCUCUCACUUUUGUUAGAUAUCGCGCCAUUCGUUCGUCCUUGGCUCCGUAUUCCUCUUGCACGUGUUGAGAAUUGUUGUAGACUCGGAGCUUGGAGACAGAUAGUGCGAGGGCGAGAUCUAGUUCGGACAAGAUGGCUUCAUAUUCUGCUUCAUUGUUUGAUGCGGAGAACCCCAGCCGUAUAGCUUGCUCCAGUUGUUCACCUGUUGAGGAUUGCAGUAAAAGUCCUAUUACGGAUCCCGGUGAUCGAGAGGCUCCGUCAACCCGCAAGGUCCACCACUCUUCUUUGUGCGGUUCCUCGUCUCGAACAGGUUUUUGGGAGGACUCUACCACAAAGUCGGCCAUUACCUGUCCUUUCAUAGACAAUCUCAGUUGGUAUUUGAUCUCAUACUCACUUAAUUCUAUGGCCCAUUGGAGCAUUCUUCCGAACAGAUCCGACUUGUGCAGGAUGUUGUGAAGGGGCUGGUUGAUAAGUAUGACUACCGGGUGGGCUUGGAAGUAGGGGCGAAGUUUCUGGGCGGCACUUCACAAGGCUAAGGUUGUUUGCUCUAUCUUUGAAUACCUUGUUUCUACAUCGGCCAAUGCUCUGCUGACAUAAUAAAUAGGUUUCUUCUCCCUAUGUGUAGGGCAACGAAACAGAAUAGUGCUAACUACCCAAUCUGACACAGCCAAAUACAUAUACAAUUUUUCUCCGGGGAGGGGACUGCUCAGGAUGGGUGGUUGCGUUAGGUAGUGUUUGAUAUUUUCGAAAGCGCUUUGACAACUAUUCGUCCAUCCAGUUGUGUCGGUUUUCUGUAAUACUAAGAAGAAGGGUCGCAAUUCGUCAAUGAAUCAGGCUAUGAAACGUCCCAGUGCGACGAGCUUGCCUGUGAGGCGUUGCAACCUUUUUUUGUUCUUGGGGGGUGGUGUUUCCAUGACUGCCUUAAUUUGGUCAAGGUUGACUUCUAUUCCUCUUUGGCUGACCAUGAACCCCAAGAAUUUCCCAGCACUCACACCGAAAGCACAUUUGGAUGGAUUCAACUUCAUGCCUACCUCCUUAGUAGGUGGAAGACUUUUUGUAAGUGGUGUGCAUGCUCUUCUCGGGUUUUACUUUUAACCACUAUAUCAUCAAUGUAUACUUCCACUGUGCGGCCAACCAGGGGUUUGAAGAUCUUUGUCAUCAGUCUCUGAUAGGUGGCACCGGCAUUUUUGAGUUCGAAUGGCAUGACUUUAUAACAAUAAAGCCCAUGUGGAGUUAUAAAGGCUGUCUUUUCUUCGUCGGUAAGGGCCAUGGGGAUUUGGUGGUAUCCGGAGAAGGCAUCUAAGAAGGAGAGCAUUCCUUGCUCGACAGUGGAGUCCACGAUUUGAUCUAUUCGCGGUAAAGGGAAACUGUCUUUUGGGCAUGCAUUGUUGAGGUUGGUAUAAUCGACGCAUACUCACCAUUUCCCCUCCUUUUUGGGGACCACCACUACAUUCGCCAGUCAAUCCGGAUACUCCACUUCUCUAAUAAAUCUGGCUUCUAACAAAUUGUCAACCUCGUCCCGAAUAAUUUUUUGCCUAUCCGGGUGGAACCGCCUAACCUUCUGCCAGACGGGUCUUGAUGAAGGCAAGAUGUUAAGCCGAUGGGAGGUGACUGAAGGAUGGAUUCUCGUCAUGUCGAACUGCGCCCACGCAAAGACGUUGUGGCUUUGUCGGAGGGUGUCCUAGAUAUCCCGGGCCUCUUCAGGUGUCAAGAGGGAGCUGAUAUGUGUGAGAUGAGUGUUUUCCUUCGAGAUUUGGAUUGGCCGCAAGGAUCUACCAUUGGGGGAUCUUUAUCCGCCGGGUUCAGUAAUUGCUAUUGGUUUGGCAUGUUGGUGGGUUUGGGGAGGGACUAGCCAUCUUUGCUGGAUCCGACUUCUCGCGCUAUCUGAUAGCACUGGCUAGCGGCCAACUGAUUGCCAUAUAGAUCGAUUUGUCUGUCCUCAGUGAGAAAGCUUACCAUCUGAUGGUAUGUGGAAGGGAUGACUUUCAUGUAGUGCAGGCACGUGCGUCCCAAGAUGGCGUUAAAGGGGGACAAAUCUUCUACCACUGAAAAUUAUACGUUAAGAGUGAAUGGGCCUGCUUGGACUGGUAGCACAACGUCUCCAAGGGAGGUGGUUGCCGCUCCAUUGAAUCCCGACAAGAUCCGCGUAGGAUUUUCUAAGCCGGAUAGCUCGAGUCUCAUCUGCUUGAUUACUGAUGCUUGUAAGAGAUCGGUCGAACUGCCUGGGUCAAUUAGGAUCCGUCUCACAUCAAAGUCCUCCAUCCCUAAGGAUAGGAUGAGGGCGUCACGAUGUGGUUGUAAUAUUCGUGUGAGAUCUAUUGGGGGGAAAACGAUUGUCCCGUCUAUCGGGCGAACACUCCUGGUAGUUAAAUUGGGCAGGAUGGAAUUGACGCGCUCAUGCACCGACGCUGCUCGCAGCAACCUCUGCCUCUUUCAUUUGGAGUUGUACUCCUCAUCUAGUGGUCCUCUGUGGAUGUAAUUGAUGACGGCCUUAGGGGCGGUUGGGGCCCUAAAGGUCCCAGAAUCGCGGCUCCGGGAAGUAUCUCUAACCCAAGCUUCUGAGAGGAGGUAUUGCUUCAAAUGUCCUGCUUUUAUGAGCUUUUCUACCAAGUAAUGGAGACUCUUGCAUCGCUCCGUAGUAUGACCAUGCUCUUUGUGGUAAGCACACAUCUUGCUAUGAUCUCUCUUGGCUGGGUCCGUUUUGAUGGGUCUGGGCCACCUGAAGUCGGACAGGUCUUGUAUCAUAAAAAGGAGCUUCUCAUAUGACAUAGUAAGGAGAGUAAGAGGCGGCAGCUCCGGGCGACUUUGCUCCCCCUGCCUUCGAUCAGACGUCCUAGGCUGGUUCGAAGGUUUGGAACUUCUUUCCGCGUCGCUUCUGGAUGUUUGUCCGAUGACCAAAAUUUGCUGGGUGGCUACACGCACAUCAUCUUCCAGCGUUGAGUAUUUGCUUGCACGCCGGAACAAGUCAUCCAUCGUCGUGAGAAGCUUUUUAGCGAGUGCUUCAAAGAAUGGGGUACUUGGGCAUAUGCUUUGUUUGAAGAUUUGGAGGACAGCAUCCAUGCUAUAGGCCUCUACUUGCAACACAACCUGACCAAAUCGUUUCACGAAUUCUCUCAAGGACUCAUUCUCCUGCAUUUUUAUGUUUUGUAGGGUGCUGAUGUUUUAUUUAUGCCGGGCGGAGCACCAGUAUCGUCCCACAAAAGCUUCUGAUAGGUCCCGGAAGUUAUCAACAAAGUUCGAGGGGAGUCUGUGAAACCACGAAAGAGCUUGGCCUUGUAAGCUGGCGGGGAAUACUUUGCACAACAACACAUCAUUCCCUAUGUUGAGAGUCAUGAGUUUUCGGUAAUGCAUGAUAUGGUCGAAUGGAUCACUAGACGUGUCAUAUGAAGAAAAUUUUGGCACGAGGAAUCCCCUUGGGGGAUCCUAAUGGAUAAUACGUGAGCUAAAAGGCAUGGAGAGCAUGUCAUCCAGCCUCUUACUAAUGGAACCUGGGGGUGGUUCAUUUGAUGAGUUCCUUCCAACUUGUCGUACCGCUUGGUGUGGGGGGUUAUUCUGAACAGUGGGUGCGACUGGGGGGUCGGGAUAUGCUUCCUAGGUUGCGGCCACCGACGACCUCUCCUUACCAGGCUCAUGCGGUCAUAACCUCACGCGCAUUGCGUCUUACAAUUGGGGCCUUUUAUCACGCUGUCUCUUUGAUGAGAGACGGGUAGAGUCUGAGCUUUCAUCUUGGGAAGCAGGAUAUGUGGGCAUGGGUCGUUCCUGAGAUCGCUCAUUGCACAUAUCAGGGACGACCCCUACAGUUCCGGGAUAUACCGAUUCUGGAUCAAGCCUAGAGUUUACCCCCUAACCUCUUGGGCGUUGGUCACGAAGGGGCCCCGAUGAUGAAACCUGGAUGCGUAACACCGCGUUUUCUUCUCUUAGUCUCGUCGUUUCCUGGAAGAGAGCUUGCAUUUUUCGUUCGCUCUCCAACUGUCGCCUUUCCAUGGUCUCGCGCCAUUCGAAAUAGCCUUCUUCUUCUCUAGCUGACGAACGACUCUUGGAAGGUGUGGACAUCUUUGUCGUUGAUUGAGCAACUUCCCACAGACAGCGCCAAUGUUGGAGCCUCGCGUCACCCGGGGUCCUCACAGUAGCCAGAUGGAUGCUCCCUUUCAACUGAAGAUGAUUCCUGCCUCAAUCAACUUGCAAAAGACGUCUUGACAAGUUGUCCGGACACACCCUCCGAUGGUUUUGUUAGCCUUCUCUAUGAUAAUCAAUCUUCCCUUUUUAUUAAGUAAGAAAGCUUACCUUCUCUGCUCACAUGAAGGCUCUUUUAUAGUGUCAGAAGCUCUGUCCCUUUUAAUGGUGGGAAGACUUUUUGGCUUGUCAUGAUGGUGCUGAGUCAUCAUUGUCCUAUAAGCGGCUGUCAGAUAUUGUGGAGGGGAUGGCUUGCCGUCAUUCCUGUCCUUUCGCUCUACAGGCGAUGGAAUGCGGGCUGUGACAGGUUGUCUGAGGUGACUCAGUAUGGUCCCGUCGAAAGUGCUUCUGGUAGUGUAGGACAGGAUGGCCCGCGUUUCACGGCCAAGGCUUUUGAUUAAGUUGCUAACGCUAGGUCCGGACAACAUAUCCAGACAAGAGAGGGGGUCGUCCGGACCGUGGGUUUGAGAGUGUCAUACGCCCCUUGAAGGGAAUUCGGAUAGGGAGUUGAUGUGCCACGUGUCCCCUGGAGGGGUGCUGUGCGGGGUUGCCACGUGGGCUUUUAGGGGUGGUCCCUACAUUGUCCAACUCACGUUAAUGUAUUAAAUUAAUAAUCUCAUUAAAUAUAUAAGAUAAUAGUUUUUUCGAAAUUCUUCAAAGUCCAAUAAAAUAUAAAUUAAUAACUAAUGAAAUAUGUGGAAAAAAAACAAAAGAUUUCAUAAUACAAACUUUCUCAAAAUAUACAUUGAAAUUUAUUUCUUUUCUUUGCACCUAAACUAACUCAAUUUUAUCUUUAUUUUUUUGUAAUAUAUAUAACUAAAUUAAUAAAUUAUUGAUUUAUUGAUAAAUUAAUAAUUCCUUUUGAUUCAAGAAUAAUAUUUUAUUUUAUAGGGUUUUUCCUAUAGCUAGGAGUGGCGCAAAGGAGAUAGCAAAUAAUUAUCCAUCAAUGAGUUACUGGCUUACUGCUACCUCCGGGUUAUGUACGCCGCUUUAGUCAAGAUCUUCAUUGCAACCUAUAACAAGCUAAGCUCUGAGUCAAGUCAAUUGGUCCCCCAUCGUAAUUACCCAAAUGAGAUUGUAUGGAAUCACACUUUCAUCUUUGAGUGAAAGAAGGAGCCUUCCUUGACCGAUUCACUCCUUCAGCAAAUGAAUUGCAUAGAAACGAGAUAAAUGUCUUUGAUGCAAAGUAAGGUAAAAAAAAUAGAGGUAGAGUUAGGUGGAGUUUGUUUUUUUUUUUUUUACUUUUUAUUAAAAGUAAUUUAUUUUUAGAAUUUAGGUAGUUUAUUUUUUUCAUAAUUGACAAAAUGGAACCGUAUAGAAAACGGAGGUAAGUCAGGUCAAGUGGGCCCACUUGACCUACCACAUUAAAUUGUUUGGAAAGUGGAAAUUGAAACUGAAAUUGCCUAGAAAGUGAUUUCCCAUUUGCUCAGAAAUUGCCUUGAAACUAGGAACUCAGUUGGAUUUAAAAGCAACAAACCUGGCUGUUGCUUUCUGAUUUUACACCAAAAACUUUCUCAAUAACCCCAUUUUUUAAAAAAAAAUUUGAUGGAAACAUUAUAUAUAUAUAGAUAUUAAUUAAUAAAAAUAAAAUUAUAAUUCAAAUAAUUUUUAUUUCCUUACUUUAUUUAUUUACCCUUUUAUCCCAUAAGGGUGAAAAAAAAGAAAAAAAUAAACUAAAUUGCAAAUAAAAUGAGAAUAGAAAUUUAAUAAAAAUUUCUUACUUUUUAUUGUUGAAUAUAGAAAUUUACAAGUUGAAGAUACAAUUGAUUGUUUUUCUCUUGAUCUCUCUAUUGAUUGCUUUUUGAUUGCUCGCUUGCUUGCUCUGUCAAUUUACAACAAAAAUAUUUACAAAGUUUUCAAAUGUUCAGUUAACAAUAAAUGUAAAGAAGGUAAGAUUUGACUUUUCUUCUUCUUUACCAUCCAUCUAGUGGCUUCUUCCUUAUCUCUUUCUUCUUUUUUAUCACAUGCAGUAUACGUGGCUUUAUUGAUUAUGGACUUCUAUUGUUGUAUUAAAUUCUUGUAGUUGAAGACAUAUUUCGUGCUUCAAUGUUGUCAUUGCUAACAUCAACGUUCCAUUGCAUUUUGUAGAUUAAAAUAACUUUUGUCGUUAAGGUUUUCCCAAAAUGAUGCAUCAUCGCUGAGGUAAGAAGAUGGUUCGAGUAACUCUACAUCGAGUUUGAUUAUAAAAUCUUGUUCUUCAGAAGUAAUGAAAGGUUUCGGAACAAUAAUUUGUUCUAAAGGUUUGUUUCUCUAUAUAGACAUGGUUUUUGUUUCUACAAUGAGAUGAAAUAAUUUAUUUCAGGUUGGUUUAAGAUCAUAAAUUUGAAAGGCUCUAAAGUGAGUAAAAAAUUCUGAAAAUUCAUUCGAAUGAGUCAUUUCCCAUUCUGGUUCUUGUUGAGGGAUGAGUGAUUCUUUAUUGUGUUUUAUAUAAACAUGGUGAUAGGUUAGCACUAUUGAUCAAUUAGUUUGAAAUAAAGGUGGAAUGGUUUCAAAAGAAAUGUUGAUUUGUUUUUUUGUUUUUAAAAUUAGUUGUUUAGCUAAAUUAACUGUAUUUAAUUUUUAAGAAUAAAAUUUAGAAAAAGUAUAAAUCUAAAAUAAUCCUAUAAAAUUAGGAUUGGAUAGAUAAAUUCUAAACAUAAAACAUCAUUGCAUGAAAUAUUAUACAUAAAAUGUGAAAUACAUAUCAUGAAUUUUAUUUUAUAUUUAUAAUAUUAAAAAUAAAAUAGAAUUAACAAAAAUAAGUUAAAAUUAUUUUAUUAAUAUAUAUUAACAAAUAAAAGAUAAAAAUUAUAAUAUAUAUAUAUAUAUAUAUAUAGAAAAGUUAAAAUGAAAAAAGAGAGACAAUUGUCUCUCCCUUUGUCACACAAUGGAGAGACCUUGUCAAUCGGGAUUGAAGUUACACUUUUAAAAAUUACUAGUAGAAAGCACGCGCGAGGCACAUGAAGAUGUACGUAGGUAUAUGAUCGUGAAUGUGCAGAUAAAUGGAAUGAAAGAUAUAAUGUUUGAAAAGGUAGGUCAAGUGGGCCCACCUGACCUACCACAUUAAAUUGUUUGGAUGGUGGAAAAAUGGAACUAUUUAGUGCACCAUUUUUCUUUUUAUUUUCUUUUUGAAAAGAUAGAAAGCAAUACGUUUGUUUUCAAACUAAAAUUGCCUGGAAAGUGAUUUCCCAUUUGCCCGGAAAUUGCCUUGAAACUGGGAACCUAGCUGGAUUUAAAAGCAACAAACCUGGUUGUCAGUUGAUCAGCAACAACUGUGAAAACAAUUAAUGGCUGAAAGUAUUGUCACCGUUUUUCUAGAGAAGUUAACUGACCUGCUUUCCAAGGAAGCAUUUCUACUCAGCAGAGUGGAAGAGCAGGUGAAGCUGUUGAGUAGCGAGCUCGAAUGGAUGCGCCUUUUUCUCAAAGACGCGGAUGCGAAGCGCAGAUAUGAUCCAAGAAUCAAGCUCUGGGUGAGUCAGAUCAGGGACGUAACCUAUGACGCCGAAGAUGUCAUCGACAGGUUCAUGUUCGAGAUGAAUCACCAACAGCAAGGAAGUCUCAAAUGCCUCCAGUUCCUUAAGUUACGAUUUGUUCACAAGCUCGAGUCUCGAAUCAGAGAGAUCAAUAUCAAGAUUGAGAAGAUCAUGGCUAACAAAUCAAGGUACGGUGUCGAAACCUUACCAGCUGCAAGCUCGUCCAACGAAGCUGUGCCACAUAAAGAGAAGAGGGCUCCGAUUGUUGAAGUCAACGUGGUGGGAAUUCAAGAGGAUGCAAAAAGCGUUAAGCAAAAUCUGCUUAAUGGAGAGAUGCGGAGAGCUGUGGUGUCCAUCGUGGGCAUGGGUGGCUUGGGAAAGACUACCCUGGCUAAGAAAGUCUAUAAUGAUAAUGAUGUCCGGCAAUGCUUUGAUUGUCAUGCUUGGAUUUAUGUCUCUCAAGAGUAUACAAUCAGGGAGCUUUUGCUAGGCGUUGCUGUUUGUGUUAGGAUUCUCUCCGAAGAGGAAAGGAGUAAAAUGGACGAGAGCGAGUUGGGGGAUAGGCUUCGUGAUUACCUGACUACCAAGAAGUACUUGAUAGUUUUGGACGAUAUGUGGAGAAAUGAAGCUUGGGAUAGGCUGGGCUUGUAUUUUCCUGACUCGGUGAAUGGCAGCAGGGUGUUGAUCACCUCACGCAAUAAAGAGAUUGGUUUUUAUGCUGAUCCACAAGCCAUUCCCCAUGAACUUUCUUUUCUGACUGAAGAAGAGAGCUGGGAGCUCUUUCUCAAGAAAAUUUUUCUGGCUGGGAGUGCAAAUGCUGUUUGCCCCAGAGAAUUGGAAGAGUUGGGAAAGAAAAUUGUAGCAAAUUGUGGGGGUUUGCCCCUUGCAAUUGUGGUCUUGGGAGGCCUUCUAUCAAGAAAAGAAAAGACACCGCUCUCCUGGCAAAAAGUACUGGACAGCCUGACUUGGCACCUAAAUCAAGGUCCAGACUCAUGUUUGGGGGUCCUUGCUUUAAGCUACAAUGAUAUGCCGUAUUACUUGAAGUCCUGUUUCCUUUACUGUGGUCUUUUCCCAGAAGACUCAGAAAUCUGGACAGAUAAGUUGAUCCGCUUGUGGGUUGCAGAAGGGUUUAUACAAAGAAGAGGAGUAGAAAUAGCGGAAGACGUCGCGGAAGAUCACUUACAGGAAUUGGUACAUAGAAGCAUGAUUCAAGUGGCUGCCAGGAGUUUCGAUGGAAGAGUGAUGUCCUGUCGCAUGCACGAUCUGCUUCGAGACCUUGCCAUUUCUGAGGCCAAAGAUACAAAAUUUUUCGAGGGAUAUGAAAGCAUUGAUUCUACAUCCCCUGUGAGUGUUCGUCGACUAACCAUUCAUCAAGGUAAGAAGACUAAUUCUAAACACUUGCAUACUUCACGUAGUCUCCGAUC